rnacentral:rRNA from 1 species
GAGCGUCGCAGCUGCCUCCACAUGCAGUCGAGCGGUAGCACAGAGAGCUUGCUCUCGGGUGACGAGCGGCGGACGGGUGAGUAAUGUCUGGGAAACUGCCUGAUGGAGGGGGAUAACUACUGGAAACGGUAGCUAAUACCGCAUAACGUCGCAAGACCAAAGUGGGGGACCUUCGGGCCUCAUGCCAUCAGAUGUGCCCAGAUGGGAUUAGCUAGUAGGUGGGGUAACGGCUCACCUAGGCGACGAUCCCUAGCUGGUCUGAGAGGAUGACCAGCCACACUGGAACUGAGACACGGUCCAGACUCCUACGGGAGGCAGCAGUGGGGAAUAUUGCACAAUGGGCGCAAGCCUGAUGCAGCCAUGCCGCGUGUGUGAAGAAGGCCUUCGGGUUGUAAAGCACUUUCAGCGGGGAGGAAGGCGUUAAGGUUAAUAACCUUGUCGAUUGACGUUACCCGCAGAAGAAGCACCGGCUAACUCCGUGCCAGCAGCCGCGGUAAUACGGAGGGUGCAAGCGUUAAUCGGAAUUACUGGGCGUAAAGCGCACGCAGGCGGUCUGUCAAGUCGGAUGUGAAAUCCCCGGGCUCAACCUGGGAACUGCAUUCGAAACUGGCAGGCUAGAGUCUUGUAGAGGGGGGUAGAAUUCCAGGUGUAGCGGUGAAAUGCGUAGAGAUCUGGAGGAAUACCGGUGGCGAAGGCGGCCCCCUGGACAAAGACUGACGCUCAGGUGCGAAAGCGUGGGGAGCAAACAGGAUUAGAUACCCUGGUAGUCCACGCCGUAAACGAUGUCGAUUUGGAGGUUGUGCCCUUGAGGCGUGGCUUCCGGAGCUAACGCGUUAAAUCGACCGCCUGGGGAGUACGGCCGCAAGGUUAAAACUCAAAUGAAUUGACGGGGGCCCGCACAAGCGGUGGAGCAUGUGGUUUAAUUCGAUGCAACGCGAAGAACCUUACCUGGUCUUGACAUCCACAGAACUUUCCAGAGAUGGAUUGGUGCCUUCGGGAACUGUGAGACAGGUGCUGCAUGGCUGUCGUCAGCUCGUGUUGUGAAAUGUUGGGUUAAGUCCCGCAACGAGCGCAACCCUUAUCCUUUGUUGCCAGCGGUUAGGCCGGGAACUCAAAGGAGACUGCCAGUGAUAAACUGGAGGAAGGUGGGGAUGACGUCAAGUCAUCAUGGCCCUUACGACCAGGGCUACACACGUGCUACAAUGGCAUAUACAAAGAGAAGCGACCUCGCGAGAGCAAGCGGACCUCAUAAAGUAUGUCGUAGUCCGGAUUGGAGUCUGCAACUCGACUCCAUGAAGUCGGAAUCGCUAGUAAUCGUAGAUCAGAAUGCUACGGUGAAUACGUUCCCGGGCCUUGUACACACCGCCCGUCACACCAUGGGAGUGGGUUGCAAAAGAAGUAGGUAGCUUAACCUUCGGGAGGGCGCUUACCACUUUGUGAUUCAUGACUGGGGGAAGUCGAAAAGAGAAAGUUAGGCC